rnacentral:rRNA from 1 species
AAACCAACAGGGAUUGCUCUAGUAACGGCGAGUGAACAAGCAAAAGCUCAGUUUUGAAAGCCUACUUUGUAGGCAUUGUAUUCUGAAGCCUAGAUUCUGGGAAACGGUGUUUAAGUCUUCUGGAAAGGAGCGCCACGGAGGGUGAUAGCCCCGUACGGCACUGACCCCAUUGUAGUUUCUAGGCGUGGAGUCGAGUUGUUUGGGAAUGCAGCUCAAAUGGGAGGUAUGCUCCUUCUAAAGCUAAAUAUUUGCGAGAGACCGAUAGCGAACAAGUACUGUGAAGGAAAGAUGAAAAGAACUUUGAAAAGAGAGUGAAAUAGGACGUGAAAUUGUUGAAAUGGAAGGGUAGGCUGCUAACCAUGUAGGACCGUGUCUGAGGGGAAGAUAAAAGCUACGGAAUGUGACUCUUCGGAGUGUUAUAGCCGUGGUCAAUGUUCCCACUUAGGCGCGAGGAUCUCAGGUUCUACUAAAUGGUGGUCUACCAC